rnacentral:rRNA from 1 species
GACGAACGCUGGCGGCGUGCUUAACACAUGCAAGUCGAACGCUGAAGCUCAGCUUUUGUUGGGUGGAUGAGUGGCGAACGGGUGAGUAACACGUGAGUAACCUGCCCCCUUCUUUGGGAUAACGCCCGGAAACGGGUGCUAAUACUGGAUAUUCACUGGUCUUCGCAUGGGGGUUGGUGGAAAGGGUUUUUCUGGUGGGGGAUGGGCUCGCGGCCUAUCAGCUUGUUGGUGGGGUGAUGGCCUACCAAGGCUUUGACGGGUAGCCGGCCUGAGAGGGUGACCGGUCACAUUGGGACUGAGAUACGGCCCAGAGUCCUACGGGAGGCAGCAGUGGGGAAUAUUGCACAAUGGGCGCAAGCCUGAUGCAGCGACGCCGCGUGAGGGAUGGAGGCCUUCGGGUUGUGAACCUCUUUCGCUCAUGGUCAAGCCGCAACAAUGGUUGUGGUGAGGGUAGUGGGUAAAGAAGCGCCGGCUAACUACGUG